CGUAACAAGGUCUCCGUUGGUGAACCAGCGGAGGGAUCAUUACUGAGUACUACACUCUCUACCCUUUGUGAACUAUUAUACCUGUUGCUUCGGCGGCGCCCGCGAGGGUGCCCGCCGGUCUCAUCAGAAUCUCUGUUUUCGAACCCGACGAUACUUCUGAGUGUUCUUAGCGAACUGUCAAAACUUUUAACAACGGAUCUCUUGGCUCCAGCAUCGAUGAAGAACGCAGCGAAACGCGAUAUGUAAUGUGAAUUGCAGAAUUCAGUGAAUCAUCGAAUCUUUGAACGCACAUGGCGCCUUCCAGUAUCCUGGGAGGCAUGCCUGUCCGAGCGUCGUUUCAACCCUCGAGCCCCCGUGGCCCGGCGUUGGGGAUCUGCCACGGCAGGCCCCUAAAACCAGUGGCGGACCCGAAGGGCCCUCUCCUUUGCGCAGUAGCAUCAGCCUCGCAUCGGGAGUCCUCGGCGUCCUGCCUCUAAACCCCCUACAAGCCCGCCCCGGCGGCACCAAGGUUGACCUCGGAUCAGGUAGGAAUACCCGCUGAACUUAAGCAUAUCAAUAAGCGGAGGAAAAGAAACCAACAGGGAUUGCCUCAGUAACG
rnacentral:misc_RNA from 1 species